rnacentral:lncRNA from 1 species
CUGAAUUUCGUGAGAAAGGGUGAAGUGGGCUGGCCGCAGGCGGCUGCCCUUCCGCAGGCUCCUGUCGAGGGGGCUUGCCGUGCGGCCACGUGGGCGCCUGAGAUGAGCUUCGCUUUAUACGGUGGAGGAGAACUUUCACUGAUCGCUUGCCGGGUACUAUAGAUACACGCAGGUCAUCGUGUUUAUCCAACUGCGGCGAAAGCAAAUAAGUGCCGAGCGGCGUUUGAGCGACUUGCAGAGCUGAAUCCGACCUGCCGCCUUUUCCUUCCUUUCCUUCCUGGCGGGGCUGCUGGGAGAAGAAGGUACGUGUUUAUCUUGGAGGCGAGGAGGGGGGCUGAAAUCGUCUUCAUUUUCUCAGCUCUGUUGGGUUUUAAGCCCCGUGAUCAUGAUGGCUCGUUCGAACCGCAGGGACGGCGAGAGGCCCGUGGUGGGACUGGCAGCCCGGGAGGUGCCGGCUGUGGAGCCGAGCUGAGCAGGCGAGGCAGCGGAAGAUGCAAGAAAGGAAAAAAAUGUAAAUUAUCUCGAGUAGUUAUUAUAUCGCAGUGCAGAGGGG